ACUCGAGUGGCGAACGGGUGAGUAACACGUGGGUGAUCUGCCCUGCACUUCGGGAUAAGCUUGGGAAACUGGGUCUAAUACCGGAUAGGAGCCAUCUUUAGUGUGGUGUUUGGAAAGUUUUUCGGUGUAGGAUGAGCUCGCGGCCUAUCAGCUUGUUGGUGGGGUAAUGGCCUACCAAGGCGGCGACGGGUAGCCGGCCUGAGAGGGUGUACGGCCACAUUGGGACUGAGAUACGGCCCAG
rnacentral:rRNA from 1 species